rfam:Spinacia oleracea cultivar SynViroflay scaffold24294.con0002.1, whole genome shotgun sequence.
AGUCUAUUAGCUCAAUUGGCAGAGCUUUGUGCAAUUGCACAAUGAUGUAGGUUCGAAUCCUACAUAGGCUA